CGGGACGGGUGAGUAACGCGUGGAUAACCUGCCUCACACUGGGGGAUAACAGUUAGAAAUGACCGCCAAUACCGCAUAAGCGCACAGUACCGCAUGGUACAGUGUGAAAAACUCCGGUGGUGUGAGAUGGAUCCGCGUCUGAUUAGCCAGUUGGCGGGGUAACGGCCCACCAAAGCGACGAUCAGUAGCCGACCUGAGAGGGUGACCGGCCACAUUGGGACUGAGACACGGCCCAA
rnacentral:rRNA from 1 species